rnacentral:misc_RNA from 1 species
UACGGAGGGUGCAAGCGUUGUUCGGAAUCAUUGGGCGUAAAGCGCGCGCAGGCGGCCUGUUAAGUCCGGUGUGAAAGCCCGAGGCUCAACCUCGGAGGUGCAUUGGAAACUGGCAGGCUUGAGUCCGGGAGGGGUCAGUGGAAUUCGUGGUGUAGGGGUGAAAUCCGUAGAGAUCACGAGGAACACCAGUGGCGAAGGCGACUGACUAGACCGGAACUGACGCUGAGGCGCGAAAGCGUGGGUAGCAAACAGG